AUUGAACGCUGGCGGCAUGCUUUACACAUGCAAGUCGAACGAGUGGCGCACGGGUGAGUAAUACAUCGGAACGUGUCCUAUCGUAGGGGAUAACUGAUCGAAAGAUCAGCUAAUACCGCAUACGAUUGGAGCGGCCGAUGCCCGAUUAGCUAGGUGGUGAGGUAAAGGCUCACCAAGGCGACGAUCGGUAGCUGGUCUGAGAGGACGACCAGCCACACUGGGACUGAGACACGGCCCCGACUCCUACGGGAGGCAGCGUUAGGGAAUUUUGGACAAUGAGGGCAACCCUGAUCCGGCCAUGCCGCGUGCGGGGUGACGGUCUUCGGAUUUUAAGCUGCUUUUGUCAGGAAAGCGGUACCUGAAGAAUAAGCACCGGCUAACUACGUGCCAGCAGCCGCGGUAAUUC
rnacentral:rRNA from 1 species